rnacentral:rRNA from 1 species
AUUGAACGCUGGCGGCAGGCCUAACACAUGCAAGUCGAACGGUAACAGGAAACAGCUUGCUGUUUCGCUGACGAGUGGCGGACGGGUGAGUAAUGUCUGGGAAACUGCCUGAUGGAGGGGGAUAACUACUGGAAACGGUAGCUAAUACCGCAUAACGUCGCAAGACCAAAGAGGGGGACCUUCGGGCCUCUUGCCAUCGGAUGUGCCCAGAUGGGAUUAGCUAGUAGGUGGGGUAACGGCUCACCUAGGCGACGAUCCCUAGCUGGUCUGAGAGGAUGACCAGCCACACUGGAACUGAGACACGGUCCAGACUCCUACGGGAGGCAGCAGUGGGGAAUAUUGCACAAUGGGCGCAAGCCUGAUGCAGCCAUGCCGCGUGUAUGAAGAAGGCCUUCGGGUUGUAAAGUACUUUCAGCGGGGAGGAAGGCCUGAUGGUUAAUAGUCAUCAGGAUUGACGUUACCCACAGAAGAAGCACCGGCUAACUCUGUGCCAGCCGCCGCGGUAA